GACGAAGGGGGCAAGCGUUGUUCGGAAUUACUGGGCGUAAAGGGCGUGUAGGCGGUCAGGUAAGUGGGAUGUGAAAGCCCUCGGCUCACCCGAGGAUCUGCAUCUCAAACUGCCUGGCUUGAGUAUGGGAGAGGAUGAGGGAAUUCCUGGUGUAGCGGUGAAAUGCGUAGAUAUCAGGAGGAACACCGGUGGCGAAGGCGGGUCUCUGGGCCGAUACUGACGCUGAGGAGCGAAAGCGUGGGGAGCGAACAGG
rnacentral:rRNA from 1 species